rnacentral:tRNA from 1 species
GUCUAGAUGGCCCAGUGUAUAGAGCUCCUGACCUGAAGUCAGGAAGACCUGAAUUCAAAUCCAGUCUCAGACA